GUUAUACCGCAUAAUAUCUGUGGAUUAAAGGUGGCUUACGCUGCCGCAGAUGGAUGAGCCUGCGUUGGAUUAGCUAGUUGGUGGGGUAAGGGCCUACCAAGGCUACGAUCCAUAGCUGAUUUGAGAGGAUGAUCAGCCACAUUGGGACUGAGACACGGCCCAAACUCCUACGGGAGGCAGCAGUGGGGAAUAUUGGACAAUGGGGGAAACCCUGAUCCAGCAAUGCCAUGUGUGUGAAGAAGGCUCUAGGGUUGUAAAGCACUUUAGUUGGGGAGGAAAGCCUAUGAGUUAAUAGCUUGUAGGAAGGACGUUACCCAAAGAAUAAGGACCGGCUAACUCCGUGCCAGCAGCCGCGGUAAUACGGGGGGUCCGAGCGUUAAUCGGAAUUACUGGGCGUAAAGGGUCUGUAGGUGGUUUGUUAAGUCAGAUGUGAAAGCCCAGGGCUCAACCUUGGAACUGCAUUUGAUACUGGCAAACUAGAGUAUGGUAGAGGAAUGGGGAAUUUCUGGUGUAGCGGUGAAAUGCGUAGAGAUCAGAAGGAACACCAAUGGCGAAGGCAACAUUCUGGACCAAUACUGACACUGAGGGACGAAAGCGUGGGGAUCAAACAGGAUUAGAUACCCUGGUAGUCCACGCUGUAAACGAUGAGUACUAGCUGUUGGAUUCGGUGUAAAGGAUCUAGUGGCGCAGCUAACGCGUUAAGUACUCCGCCUGGGGACUACGGCCGCAAGGCUAAAACUCAAAGGAAUUGACGGGGACCCGCACAAGCGGUGGAGCAUGUGGUUUAAUUCGAUGCAACGCGAAGAACCUUACCUGGUCUUGACAUCCUGCGAACUUUCUAGAGAUAGAUUGGUGCCUUCGGGAACGCAGUGACAGGUGCUGCACGGCUGUCGUCAGCUCGUGUUGUGAAAUGUUGGGUUAAGUCCCGCAACGAGCGCAACCCCUAUUGAUAGUUACCAUCAUUAAGUUGGGUACUCUAUUGAGACUGCCGCUGACAAGGCGGAGGAAGGUGGGGACGACGUCAAGUCAUCAUGGCCCUUACGACCAGGGCUACACACGUGCUACAAUGGGUAUUACAGAGGGCUGCGAAAGGUGCGAG
rnacentral:rRNA from 1 species